GGGCUUGCUGCCGAGAGGCGGCUCCCCUCAAAUGCAUCGGUUGGGCCUGCGGGUCGUACUCGAUUGGGCGUUGUAUUAUCCUCGCUUUAACGAGAUGUUCCCCUCCUUGCGCCCCUCCACGACCUGCCUAUUGAGUGGCGGUCAAGCAAAAACUUUGAAAUUCUGACCUCAAAUCAGGUAGGACUACCCGCUGAACUUAA
rnacentral:misc_RNA from 1 species